AAAAGGGACACCGAAGUUGCCUGCUUUCUUCUCGACGGCAGUUGGCCUCCUCUACCUGGGAGCGCGCAGCCCAACAUCUCAGCUCUCAGACAGAUGUCCCCCAGCGUCCCGUUCUGGUACCAGGUCUGUGGGUUGAUCCGGAUGUAACGGGCCACCGUGGAAGUGUUGAAAAGGGCGAGGACAGGCGUCUCUGUGUCCUGGUUUCCUUCAAAUACCUGCAGCACAAGUUGUGAUUCAGGCUAAGAGCACAACCCUCCUCCUCCUCCCCUUGCUCCUCCGGUCUUCAUCUCGCACGGCUCCUGGUUCCUCCUCCGGCAGGCCACUACCAUCGGCUCCUUGGUUCGGUCUUCGGGUUCCUCACACCACCACCAGUGUCUAGACUCCAUUGGGGGACCAGCUUCUGGCUUUCUAACCCCCUAAAUAUAUAUAAUUUCAUAAUGAUGGAGUCUAAUCUCCAAAGACUGUGAUAUGUCAUAUCAUGCAUUCGUACAAUAAAUCUUUGCAUAUCUGCAACCAAAUCUCUCCUGAUUGAAAUACGGAACAAGGCCCAUGAAACGACACGUUUAGCUGUCAUGAUUUUUAGUUCUAUUUGGCCAUGCCAUCACCUUCUACUCACCUUUUUUUAGGUGUCCUUACAUGUCUCCCUAAA